rnacentral:lncRNA from 1 species
GCACAUCCGUUUAGGGUUUUAUUUUGCUAAAAAGAAUUCACACAGGCCAAAAACAAAAAACCAUGCAAAACAUUUUUGUGCACACUUUUUACCACACUAUAUUCCAUUUCUGAAAUGUUAAAAUUAAAAAUCCCAAAGCAAGAGUACUUAGGUUGAAAAGUUAACAUUAUAAAAGCUAGAUUCCUAACAAAACACACUGCAGACAUAAAUCACUCAGUUGCAAAAAGUUAAUGUUUAUAAAUGUUAAAUAAAUGUCAAGAAUGAGGAGACAAGAACUGUAGAUCCAAAGUGUACUCCUCACCAUGAACUAUUAAAACUUGUGUUCGGUGUUGUAGGACAUCCAUGAUGUUAACUGGAAGUAGCUACAACCUUAACCCAACACUAUGCCAAACUUGGAAACACUGAGGGAACCAUA